rnacentral:rRNA from 36 species
UGGACGCAUCACUGGUGUUCGGGUUGUCAUGCCAAUGGCACUGCCCGGUAGCUAAAUGCGGAAGAGAUAAGUGCUGAAAGCAUCUAAGCACGAAACUUGCCCCGAGAUGAGUUCUCCCUGAGACUUAGAGUCUCCUGAAGGAACGUUGAAGACGACGACGUUGAUAGGCCGGGUGUGUAAGCGCAGCGAUGCGUUGAGCUAACCGGUACUAAUGAACCGUGAGGCUUAACCUU